rnacentral:rRNA from 1 species
CUGAGUGUCCUUCGGGGCCAGGGUAUACAGGGAGCGUGGGACCUGAGUCAGGGAGGUAAACGUAUUAACAGGUGUGACGCAGGAAGGUAGCCGAGCCGGGCGAUGGUAGACCCGGUCUAAGGACGUAGGAAACACGAUAGGCAAAUCCGUUGUGUUGUCUUCAAUGACGAUUCUGAGAUCUGAUGGGACCCCCGUAUGGGGGAAUUCGGUGAUCCUAUGCUGCCUAGAAAAGCAUCGACGUGAGGUUCUAACUGCCCGUACCCCAAACCGACACAGGUGAUCAGGUAGAGAAUACUAAGGCGAUCGAGAGAAUUAUGGUUAAGGAACUCGGCAAAAUGCCCCCGUAACUUCGGGAGAAGGGGGGCCUGCCCCGUGAAGAAGAUUUACUCUUCAUGAGCGGGUGUGGGCCGCAGAGACCAGGGGGAAGCGACUGUUUACUAAAAACACAGGUCCGUGCGAAGUCGCAAGACGAUGUAUACGGACUGACUCCUGCCCGGUGCUGGAAGGUUAAGAGGACCGGUUAGCUACUUCGGUAGCGAAGCUGAGAAUUUAAGCCCCAGUAAACGGCGGUGGUAACUAUAACCAUCCUAAGGUAGCGAAAUUCCUUGUCGGGUAAGUUCCGACCUGCACGAAUGGAGUAACGACUUCCCCGCUGUCUCAACCAUAAACUCGGCGAAAUUGCAGUACGAGUAAAGAUGCUCGUUACGCGCAGCAGGACGGAAAGACCCCGAGACCUUUACUAUAGUUUGGUAUUGGUGUUCGGAGUGGCUUGUGUAGGAUAGGUGGGAGACUGUGAAGUCACGACGCUAGUUGUGAUGGAGUCAUCGUUGAAAUACCACUCUGGUCACUUUGGACAUCUAACUUCGGCCCGUAAUCCGGGUCAGGGACAGUGCCUGAUGGGUAGUUUAACUGGGGCGGUUGCCUCCUAAAAAGUAACGGAGGCGCCCAAAGGUUCCCUCAGCCUGGUUGGCAAUCAGGUAUCGAGUGUAAGUGCACAAGGGAGCUUGACUGUGAGAGGGACACCUCGAGCAGGGACGAAAGUCGGGACUAGUGAUCCGGCGGCACAUUGUGGAAUGGCCGUCGCUCAACGGAUAAAAGGUACCUCGGGGAUAACAGGCUGAUCUUGCCCAAGAGUCCAUAUCGACGGCAUGGUUUGGCACCUCGAUGUCGGCUCGUCGCAUCCUGGGGCUGGAGUAGGUCCCAAGGGUUGGGCUGUUCGCCCAUUAAAGCGGUACGCGAGCUGGGUUUAGAACGUCGUGAGACAGUUCGGUCCCUAUCCGCUGCGCGCGCAGGAAAUUUGAGAAGGGCUGUCCUUAGUACGAGAGGACCGGGACGGACGAACCUCUGGUGUGUCAGUUGUACUGCCAAGUGCAUCGCUGAUUAGCUACGUUCGGAUGGGAUAACCGCUGAAAGCAUCUAAGCGGGAAGCCCGCUUCGAGAUGAGAUUUCCAUACACGUAAGUGUGAGAGGCCCCCAGCUAGACCACUGGGUUGAUAGGCCGGACGUGGAAGCGAGGACUAAAGACUCGUGAAGCUGACCGGUACUAAUAAGCCGAUAACUUACACUA